GCCUUCAUAUCAGCGUCACCUGCCGUCACCUCUGCGUAGCUCAUGUCGCCUAGCAACCAGGCAGCACUUUCUCUGGCUCCUGUGCUUGUCCUGCCUGCGCACCUGGAAGCGGUUCAGUAAUCACUCACCUGUGUGCAAUCUGAUGAUUACUCACCCACUACUUAGAGCUGAAGAGUUCCCUCAGUUGCAAUUGUGUUAGGGUGGAGAAAAACCUGUUUGGAAAAAGGGAAAUCUAUGGAAAAGAGGAGACUCAGAAGGAAAGUUGUUUUGAAACAGACUUUGUUAUUCAUCUGCCAGAAAGCAGGGGGGCUUUCUGCCCAGAAAGAAGACAU